UGGGGAAUUUUGGACAAUGGGCGCAAGCCUGAUCCAGCAAUGCCGCGUGAGUGAAGAAGGCCUUCGGGUUGUAAAGCUCUUUUGUUCGGGAAGAAAUCCUCUGGGCUAAUAUCCUGGAGGGAUGACGGUACCGGAAGAAUAAGCACCGGCUAACUACGUGC
rnacentral:rRNA from 1 species